ensembl:piRNA 21ur-366 ncRNA
UUUAGAAAAUGAAAAGGUCAC